UUUUCAUUGUUUUAUAUUUUUACACCAUAUAUAUAAAGUAUAAGGUGUUAGAGAAUUUUACAUUAACACUGUUUUAUUUUUGAAAUCCAAAUUCUGUUAACUUUACUGUUAGGAAAAAGCAAACAAAUCCAUCUAUUGGCAUGUUAAAAAAAAAAUUUCCAGAAAAAUACAUUCUUCCUGAUUAGUGAUUUUUUUUUUUGGUAUCACUGUUCUGUUACAUAAUGUUCAGUAAAUAUUUAACAAUAUUCAGAUAAAGAGUCAUCAAUUAGAAAUCUUUACCAAACUUCUUACACAUAAAAGUUGUCUAUUGGAAUGCAUGUCCAGUGUUUAAAAUUGAACUUUUCAUCCAUGUGUGUAUGUAUCAUUGAGAUUUCACUUUCCUUAGCCAGCUAAACAUUGAGACCUGCUUAUUCUGUAGACUUUUAAAAUAAUUUUACCUAUAUUCCCCUUAGACUUAGAAUAAUUGAUCUUACAAUAUUUGUUCUAUGUCAUAAUUUCCUUCUGUUAUUUAUUAUAACAUUACAUUAACCAUACAUAUAUUUUAAAAUAAUAGUGGUUUAGUUUUAAAUUACUAUUUUUGUUUUGUUUUUUUUAUUCAGAAUGAAGUGCAAACAGCAAAAGAAUUUAUAAAGAUUGUAGAAGCUGCAGAAAAUGAAUACCAGACUGCCAUCAGUGAGAAUUAUCAGACAAUGUCGG
rnacentral:sRNA from 1 species